UACGAAGGGUGCAAGCGUUACUCGGAAUUACUGGGCGUAAAGCGUGCGUAGGUGGUUUGUUAAGUCUGUUGUGAAAGCCCCGGGCUCAACCUGGGAAUGGCAAUGGAUACUGGCAAGCUAGAGUGCGGUAGAGGGUAGUGGAAUUCCCGGUGUAGCGGUGAAAUGCGUAGAGAUCGGGAGGAACAUCUGUGGCGAAGGCGGCCAUCUGGACCAGCACUGACACUGAGGCACGAAAGCGUGGGGAGCAAACAGG
rnacentral:rRNA from 1 species